rnacentral:tRNA from 1 species
CUCUCUGUAGCUUAAUCGGAUAAAGCACCGGUCUUCUAAACCGGGUACUCUGGGUUCGAGUCCCAGCAGGGAGGCUA